rnacentral:rRNA from 1 species
AUCUACGGCCAUGCCACCUGAACAAGCCCGAUCCCAGCUGAUCUUGGAAGCUAAGCAGGGUCGGGCCUGGUUAGUACUUGGAUGGGAGACCACCUAGGAAGACCAGGUGCUGUAGGUG